ensembl:lncRNA trichohyalin-like
GUUGCCUUAGCGACGGUAAAGUUACCGGACUCUCCUGAGUGUUGCUAAUAACGCGGUGCAGGAACAUUUUAAAGGUGUAAAACGAUGGCUUUGUGUUUGGUUCCGGAGUUCCCGGGCGUCACGGUCGCUCUGGAGCGUCUGAAGGAGCUGGACGAGGGGCUGACGGAGCACGGAGCCCCGCCGGAGGCUCAUCGACACCUGGCCCUGAUAUCAGCCGCCGUGUCCGACCUGGAGGCGGAAAGACGCGCCGCUCACGAGCUCCUGGACGUGGAAACCAACGAAAACAGUGAGCUGAGACACAAAAUCCAACAGCUUAGUGAGAAAACGAGCCACGACCUACAGUCAGGAGUGGCUGCUGUUUGGGAGUCCAACUCUGCUGAGAUAGAGAAGCUUCGUGAGGAGCUGGGAGUAGCUUCUAAGCUCCACCAGGAGGCCACAGCCAGACACGAUGAGCUACUGCAGCAGAACCAAGCUAUGUGUGCUGAGAUAGAGAGAGCUAAAGCAGAGCAGGACACCCUCAACGCUUCACUGGAGGAGGAAAUCAGCCUGAAGACCACCCUGCAGGAGAAGCUUCUAGAAACCCAAAGGCUGACGGAGGAGGUGGAGUCCUCCAUCGCUGCUGUGGAGCACCACAAAGUAACACUGCAGCAGAAGAUGACCCUGGAGAGAAACGCAUUCAAUGCAGAGAAGGAGAGUCUGUCCAAAGAAGAGGAGAAGAUGGAGGAGAAGAUAAAAAAACAGGAAGAAGUGAUCAGGAUGAGAAGGAGUGAGCUGGAGAAGGUGAACCAAAGGAAGGAAGAAGCUCAGAGAAGCCUCAACGAUCUUUCAGCACAAGCUGCAAAACUGGAAAACAACGUAGAAAAACUGAGAACAUCUCUGUCCCAACAUGAGAAACGAGUCCAGGAGGAAACCCAAAUGCACCAGGAGCUGGAAAAGCAGCGAGAACGUUUGGAGAAGAAACCUCAGGAGUUGGAUGAAGCCUUCAGGAUCGCUGUGACGAAGCUCCAAGAAGAAUCGGUCACAGCGGAGAGCGAGAUGGAAGAAGAUAGAGUAACGAGUCGCGCUCUCCAGGAAAAAAUCACUCACAUUCAACAGGUGCACAAGCAUCAGCGUGAAGAAGAGGAGAAGACACGCGCGGAGGUCACGGUUGUUUCACAGCAGCUGGAGCGCUCCACGCUGCAGCUGGAGGAGAGAAUCACCUCCAUCAUCAGGUACCGACAGCAGAUCAAAGAGAUGGAGAAGAGGACCAGAGAGCUCCAGGAAAAGGACGCCAUCAACAGGCGUUUGUUCCAGAAGAACCAGGAGGAGCUCCGCGGUAACCUGGAAACCGAGUGGAGGUUGGUCCUCCAACUGGAGGACGAAAUGGAGCAGCUUCAUCAGCAACUGGAGCAGCUGAGGACGACUCAGCAGGAGCACGAGGAGCAGAUGAACUCCAGCAUCGGCGUCAUGAGGAGGAGGUACCAGGAGCUGCAGCGAGAAGAAGCGGCACUCCUGCAGCGUCAGCCGAAGAGCGUUGACCUCGAGCUGCUGAGGAAACACGUCCUCCAAUCAGAGACAGAAUCUAGACAAGUAGAAAACAGGCGUCAGAAAGAGCUGCAGGAGAACCGAGAAGAAAUGGAGAACCUAGUGAGGAGCAUCCAGGAGAAGCAGAGGGAGCUGGAGCAGAAGAUGGUCCUCCUUAGGCAGGAGGAGGAGAUGUGUGAGGAGAAGCUGAACAGGAACCAGAGUCUGAUGAAGCUCCACCAGGAGCUGGAGAGGAACAAAUGUGAGCUGGAGGACUCCAUCCACGACCUGGAGAAAAAAACCAGCAGCCUCCUGAAGUCCAGGGAGAAGCUGAAACUGGAUCUCCAGGAGCUCCAGGAGCGUCACAUGGAGACCCUCUUCCUGCAGACUUCAGCGCUGCGAGCAGAAGAGGUGCAACUCUACAGCAGCAGGACUUCCCUGGAGCAGGUCCAGAUGGAGAACAGCAGGUUCUACCUCGCCAUCAGGAGGAUGACGGAGGAGGUCCACAGGGCACGGCGGGAUAGGGAUGGAUACCUCCAGGACACGCAGGUCCUCAGGCACGACACGGAGGCCCUGAGGGAGGCCUUACAGGAGAAGUGGAGAGAAGACGCAGAGGUGACGCAGGAGCAGGAGAGCAGGAUGGAGGAGCUGCUCUACUCCACAACCUCUCUGAUGGAGCUCCUGCAGAGCAGAGGGACACAGGUGGGGAAGAUCAGCGCUCUGCUGCACCAGCACCUGAUGGAGUUUAACAGAAGACUGGGAGGUCCCGACAUCAAAGGGCAGAGCUGAGCCGGAAAUAAUCAGAAAUAACAUCAAAGCAACACGAACAGAAAAAACAUCAUCAAAGUCACAUCAGAAGGUUUUAGUCAAUCUGAGCAAAACAUCAUCAUUAAACCUUAUUUAAAGCAGAACUAAGUCACUUUUUCACCUUAAUAAGUCAUUUUCAUAGUCCCUGUGAGGGUAAUACAAGUGUUUAUGGGGUGAUUGGGGGGUCUUUCACCCCCCCUGCUGUCUCUGGCCAGCAAACAGCACUUUCAGCUUUCAUAUAUAUAUAUAUAAAAUAGCGG